rnacentral:misc_RNA from 1 species
AAGAAAGUUGGCGUGGUUGAUGCAGAGUACAUAACUCAUUUGGCUAUCCCUUCUCUCGGUGCUAAUUCAGAUGUAGAAACGGUGAUCAAAGAAUUAGAUAAUAAUUCACCGCAAGGGAAGAACUUGUCUGACUCUGAUACAUUGGCUGCUCCAGUUGAGAAAUUUGACAAUCGGUCUCUGGUUAGGAGACAAUCGUAUAUCGAAAUGAAGAUUUUUCGAGAGAGGUGGGGUAAAGCCAUCAAGCAAGAUCAAUGUUGGGUUGAUCCAUUUCAAAGUCAAGAAAAAGGGAGAACAGAGACAUACACAUAGUGAAAUUUCUGAUAAGUUAUAUAGUUGUUUGUAUAUACAUUGUAUACAAAGAGCAGCUAAGAGUAAAUAGCCAUACAAGACUGAUAGAUAAAUUCAGUCAUCUUUCUUUUGCCUUUGGGAAUCAUUUUUCCUUCUCAUAGAUAAAUUUUG